UCCCCAGUGCUUCCCACCCCGCGGGGGCAGCCCCGCAGGGGAGAGGCGACCACACCUCAGGGAGGAGCACAUAGAGGCCAAGGGACCAUGAGGGCAAGGGGAACACAGAGCUGAGCGAAGCCCCUGCACUCACCAGCACCUUCCCAAGAGGACACAGCUGCUCUUUCAACCACUGGCCCCUGCUUUUUUCUCUCUCCUGCACCCACGGGCCUCAGGCCCUCCGCGGCCGCCAUUUUAAGCCUUAAACGAGGGGGGCGCGUGAGUGAAGGAGGAGGAGGGAAAUGUGUGGUGAAGGCGGCGAUGAGGGGGAGACAGUGUGAAGAACCGCCCCUGCCUGGCUCCCUGCAAGGCAACAGUUCCUUGCCAUCCUUGGAAGGACAAAGUGAUGACUUUUUGGGGAAAAAAGUAUGAUGAUAAUAACACCUCCCUGAGUUUUGGGGUGGUUUUUUUCCACGCGGCGACGCCCAGGCCUUCUUUUUCUCUCAGAAGUCGCCGCCCCCGAGGAAGGCAGAGGGUGGCUUUUCCAUGGGGUGGCAGCAUGGAGAUGCAGCAGGAGGAGUUCAGGAGACCUUGGUAUAUUGAAGAUAACAAUCCUGCUUCUGAAUGGGAGAUAAGAGAGAGACAAAGACAGAGCUGCUGGCUUUUAACUCGCAUGAAAAGCUUCAGAUACUACAGCAAAGAGGACCAUAUAUGAAGACAGAGCUGUGCCGUAACUGGUAGGAGAGAGAGCAAUGUAGUAACUUUGAUACGAACACUGACCUUCUCAGCAUUAAGCAUACUGCAUGAUGUUAUAGAAAUAAGGCUUAAGAUGCAGGUUCACAAGGGUGACAAACUGAUACUGAAUUCGGCAGCACUGGAUUGUCUAAAUACCUUUGUAGAUAGGGACGUAAAUGCCUUAUUUGAUAGGAGUUAACAUGACUGGAAAAGUGAAACGUUAGCACAGUGGAACAUGCUCUGUUUGAGGUUGUGUCUCCACUUUCCACUGUACCUGCCAUUUUGUAUUACGGGUUGCAUGUGUUACCAGCCUUGCCCCAGGCAAGGUUAAUGAAUUGCAGUUCCUCUGAUCUGCCCAGCUGCAGAGAGCUGCACCGUAUCUCGUUGAAGGAUCAUCGCUGGGAAGCUAUCGUGCGGCAAUCUGGAGCCAUCGGCUUUGAUUGUCUCUCAGUGGUUGGCCAGGAGCCACGGUCAAUAGAUUUGCAAUGCAGGGAUGCCAGCGUGGCGGGUGCCUCAGUUACUUCUCAGCCCAGCACAUGGCAAAAGGCUGAACAGAGCAGGGAAGCCAAAAAUUGCCAGCUGGAAGCAGGGUGGUGCAGGAGAGAGGGCAAACAGGCUGCUGCCAAGCCUUAAUGCCUGUAAGGCUCAGGGUCACAAAGGGAGACUAUUAAUACAGAUUUUCAGAUAGUUUCCAUCUUCCUUUCCUUUUGUUUCCAAUAUUUCCUAGUUCCUAUCUCCUGUAAGAGCAAAAUUGGCAGAGCUGUCAGGUCUCCUCUCUCCUUACCACACCAUCGGUCAGAUCGUGUAUGAAUCUGGAGCAAGGAAGCAACCACAGUAAUUUUACCAGCAUUUUACCUAGAUUAUGCCAAGUCUGGUGUGCAAAGGACUUGUUUAAUGACUUUUCCUUUCCCAUACAGAGAGGGAGAAGCAUUCUCAUUUAAUAUUAAUCUCCUCUCCACGGAUUCAGGCUGCUUGUGACACUGUAUCAAUUAUUAAAACUAGUUUAAAAAAUUCCCAGGA